rnacentral:rRNA from 1 species
GGUUCGAUCAUGGCUCAGAUUGAACGCUGGCGGGAUGCUUUACACAUGCAAGUCGAACGGGCAGCACGGACUUCGGUCUGGUGGCGAGUGGCGAACGGGUGAGUAAUGUAUCGGAACGUGCCUAGUAGCGGGGGAUAACUACGCGAAAGCGUGGCGCUAAUACCGCAUACGCCCUUCGGGGGAAAGCGGGGGACCUUCGGGCCUCGCACUAUUAGAGCGGCCGAUAUCGGAUUAGCUAGUUGGUGGGGUAACGGCUCACCAUGGCGACGAUCCGUAGCUGGUUUGAGAGGACGACCAGCCACACUGAUUCAGACACGGCCCAGACUCCUACGGGAGGCAGCAGUGGGGAAUUUUGGACAAUGGGGGAAAUUCCCGAUCCAGCCAUCCCGCGUGUGCGAUGAAGGCCUUCGGGUUGUAAAGCACUUUUGGCAGGAAAGAAACGGCACGGGAUAAUACCCCGUGCAACUGAUUGUUCGCAGAAUAAGCACCGGCUAACCACGUGCCAGCAGCCGCGGUAAUACGUAGGGCAAGCGUUAAUCGGAAUUACUGGGCGUAAAGUUGCAGCAGGCGGGGUUCGGAAAGAAAGAUGUGAAAUCCCAGAGCUUUUAAUCUCGGAACUGCAUUUAACUACCGAGCUAGAGUGGUGGUUGUGAGGGAGGUGGAAUUCCGCGUAGCAGUGCAGAAAUGCGUAGAUAUGCGGAGGAACACCGAUGGCGAAGGCAGCCUCCUGGGGAUACGACUGACGCUCAUGCACGGAAGUGCGGGGAGCAAACAGGAUUAGAUACCCGGUAGUCCACGCCCUAAACGAUGUCAACUAGCUGUUGGGGCUUUCGGGCCUUGGUAGCGCAGCUAACGCGUGAAGUUGACCGCCUGGGAGUACGGUCGCAAGAUUAAAACUCAAAGGAAUUGACGGGACUCCGCACAAGCGGUGUGGAUGCAUGGGAUUAAUUCGAUGCAACGCGAAAACCUUACCUACCCUUGCGAUGGCGUCUGGAAUCCCGAAGAGAUUUGGGAGUGCUCGCAAGAGGAACCGGAACACAGGUGCUGUAUGGCUGUCGCCGCUCGUGUCGUGAGAUGUUGGGUUAAGUCCCGCAACGAGCGCAACCCUUGUCAUUAGUUGCUGCCGAAAGGGCACCUAAUGAGACUGCCGGUACAAAACCGGAGGAAGGUGGGGAUGACGCUCAAGUCCUCAUGGCCCUUGCGGGUAGGGCUUCACACGUCAUACAAUGGUCGGGACAGAGGGUCGCCAACCCGCGAGAGCUCAUCCCAGAAACCCGAUCGUAGUCCGGAUCGCAGUCUGCAACCUCGACUGCGUGAAGUCGGAAUCGCUAGUAAUCGUGACUGCAUGUCGCGGUGAAUACGUUCCCGGGUCUUGUACACACCGCCCGUCACACCAUGGGAGUGGGUUUUACCAGAGUGUAGUUAGCCCAACCGUAAGGAGGGCGAUUACCACGGUAGAUUCAUGACUGGGGUGAAGUCGUAACAAGCAG